UACGAAGGGGGCUAGCGUUGCUCGGAAUCACUGGGCGUAAAGCGCACGUAGGCGGAUCUUUAAGUCAGGGGUGAAAUCCCGGAGCUCAACUCCGGAACUGCCUUUGAUACUGAGGGUCUCGAGUUCGGGAGAGGUGAGUGGAACUGCGAGUGUAGAGGUGAAAUCCGUAGAUAUUCGCAAGAACACCAGUGGCGAAGGCGGCUCACUGGCCCGAUACUGACGCUGAGGUGCGAAAGCGUGGGGAGCAAACAGG
rnacentral:rRNA from 1 species